AAUGUGGUGGUUGUUUAUAGCUUCGCUUAUUUCAACAAUUGAUUUUGCUAAAGCAUCAGAUGGAUUUGACUUUGGAGAUACUCUAGCUUUAAUUCUAGGAUUGAUCAUUGGAAUCAUUGGAUUUUUUGCUUGUAUGGGAGCUUACGCACGACGUAGAGCUCAAUUUGAAGCAAUCUAAGAGCUAGACUGACCAUUUAAAAAUUAUUUAUCAUAUCUAUUAUUAUUAAAUAUAUAUAUAUAUGCACAUAUAUAUAUUUAUGGGUAUUUUUAUAAACAAAACAAUAAAUAGGAAUAUAACUGAAUUUUCUACGUUGUCAAUUGUUGAAUAAUGCAUUAUAUAAUUCAACUACUGAUAUAUUGUUAAUUAAUAAUAUAAUCAUUCAUAACUGUUAAUAUGAAUAUUAUAAUGAAACAUAAAAUAAAGAGGUAUUUUUAUUUUUAUUAA